UACGUAGGGUGCGAGCGUUAAUCGGAAUUACUGGGCGUAAAGCGUGCGCAGGCGGUGAUGUAAGACAGAUGUGAAAUCCCCGGGCUCAACCUGGGACCUGCAUUUGUGACUGCAUCGCUAGAGUACGGCAGAGGGGGAUGGAAUUCCGCGUGUAGCAGUGAAAUGCGUAGAGAUGCGGAGGAACACCGAUGGCGAGGGCAGCCCCCUGGGCUGACACUGACGCUCAGGCACGAAAGCGUGGGGAGCAAACAGG
rnacentral:rRNA from 1 species